rnacentral:rRNA from 1 species
GGCGUAGGCGGUUCUUCAAGUCGGUUGUGAAAUCUCUCGGCUUAACCGAGAGCGGUCAUCCGAUACUGUAGGACUAGAGUGCAGCAGAGGGAGGUGGAAUUCCCGGUGUAGUGGUGAAAUGCGUAGAUAUCGGGAGGAACACCAGUGGCGAAAGCGGCCUCCUGGGCUGUUACUGACGCUGAGGCCCGAAGGCGUGGGGAGCAAACAGGAUUAGAUACCCUGGUAGUCC